GAAUUUUUUGUCUCUCUGAAGCAAGGGCUUAAGGAAUAAUGAAAACUUUUGCUCAUAUGUCUCUUGAAUGCUUCUAUUUUCAAGGUCAACCAAACUUUUUUUUUUUUUUUUUGCUUUUAGCGAAGACAAAUGCACUUUUCUUCAAGCGAUACACCGUAAAAUGUUUCCACAAGAUUAUCCCAUCUGUGAGCUGCAGCCGCAGGCUCUGGGCAAUUUCAUCUUCUCCUGGCCAUUGGAAAAUUAGAUUUCAGUGUGACAUCGGACAAGCCUGAAACCAACCUGAGAACCCAUUCAUUACCUGGAAAGCCAGUCUGAAAUGACAUCAUCCGGGGUCAUGAAGGACACGUGUAACUCACCUGGUACACACGGGUAUUCAAUAAAAAGAAAACUGCUAUUUAAUUACCAC